rfam:Oryza glumipatula chromosome 5, whole genome shotgun sequence.
AAUAAGCAUAGUUGUGAGUUUCAGUGUCCAACGUUUGACCGUCCGUUUUAUUUCAGAUUUUUUCAUGAUUAAUAUUUUUAUUGUUAUUAGAUGAUAAAAUAUGAAUAGUACUUUAUGCGUGACUUAAUUUUUAUUUUUUUUCAUAAAUUUUCAAAUAAGACGGACAGUCAAACGUUGGACACGAAAAUUUAUGGUUGCACUUAAA